rnacentral:lncRNA from 1 species
GUUCCGACUCAUAAGUGACCCGCGAUUAUUCGCACAGUCUUCACGUGAUUGUAGCACUUAAUCGUACUUAUUUACACCCAGAUAUGUCGUACAGACCACUAUAGGUGGUUCCGACUCGUGUGCAGGGAUAUAUGAUGAGCUCUGGAUAAGUCGUACAGGUCACUAUAGGUGACUCCGACUUAUGAGCUAGCAUAUGUGUUGAGAUAUGGAUAGUUGUACAGGUCACUAUA